rnacentral:lncRNA from 1 species
CCAUUAUAAUGCCAAAGAUAGCAUAAAACAACCAUAUAAUUUCAUUGGUUCACGGACCAUAAUACACUAAUUCUACAAAAGAAUUCAGAUUUAACACUGUACAAUUUCAGAGAUUAAACUUAGCACAAUUUCAACUUAACACUGCACGAUUUCAGAAAUUAGCAAUCAAUUAAUUUUACAGUUUGGACUGAACGAAAAUUAAACAAAACACACA